CGGUGGUCUCGUCUUCCUCCUUCAGCCUCCGCACGGCUUCGUGGAGACGCCGCCUGUGCUGGGGCAGCGACACCCCGAUGGCAUCCAGGUCCGGCUCCCCGAUUUGCUUGCACACCUCCAGGUCGUCAUAGCCAUUAUCCACGAAAGCCUCGGCGUACUGGGCAACUGGACUUCCUGGUUUUUCUUUGAAGACGUUUCGCUUCUCAUCCAAGAUUACUGAAGAAGCUUCUUGGUUGACUGAGAAUGUCCAUAGACUUUCAGAGGAGAAAAAAAGAGACCGUCUCGAUCAUCCCUGCCAUGAUUGGCUGGUGUGUUCCGCUGUCAUUUUCUGCUUUAAAGCAGAACUACUCACUACUCACUACUACUACUAGUUCUGAGAAGUCCGGAUUUCCCAGAACUUUUUCAAACUAUAGACGCGGUGGGUUGAGGAAGGAAGGCAACACCGCCUAAUGCAUUAAGCACGGUGAAUGCGUUACAGCGAACGAAUGAGGCACAA